GAGAACACACGGCAAGCUGGUUGCUGAACCUUGGUCCGCUACCAGCCCCAGGGAGAGCGCCGGAGCGCGGCCCCGACAGCAGCCGCAGCCUCCUGCCGUGGAGGAUCGAGGCUCGGAAGGACCCACACCCCAGUGUCGCUUUCCCAGAUGGUGUCGCUGCGCAGGUCGUGGCCUACCAUGGCCACAGUGCUUUUGGCCCUGCUCGUCUACCUGGGGGCGCUGGUCGAGGCCCACCCUAUCAAACCGAGGCUCCCGGCGAAGACGCCUCCCUGGAGGAGCUGAGCCGCUACUACGCCUCCCUGAGCCACUACCUCAACCUGGUCACCUGGCCAUGGCCGGAGGCUCAGACCUGUAGUGAGGACCCCCGAGGCCUCCUGGGAGAUCUGCAGACCACGCCCACCUCAUUUGCAUGUUCACUCCCGACCCCGGAAACCCGGAUUCCGCCUCCCGCCGGCAUCUGGGCAGGGUUCGGAUACCGCAGUCCUGCGUCUCGGUGCCCUCGCCCCUUGAGCUGCAGGGCUGUGUGUGCUCCUUCCCUGGUCCCAAAAUAAAGAGCGAAUUCCACAG